rnacentral:tRNA from 1 species
UGAUAGAGGGGGAUCCUUUUAUUAACUGCAAUUUAAUAAUUAAUUUCUAUCAU